CGGAAUUACUGGGCGUAAAGCGCGCGUAGGCGGUUAAGUAAGUUAAUUGUGAAAGCCCAAAGCUCAACUUUGGAAUUGCAAUUAAAACUAUUUAGCUAGAGUUUAUCAGAGGAAAGCGGAAUACAUAGUGUAGAGGUGAAAUUCGUAGAUAUUAUGUAGAACACCAGUUGCGAAGGCGGCUUUCUGGGAUAACACUGACGCUGAGGUGCGAAAGUAUGGGUAGCGAAGAGGAUUAGAUACCCUCGUAGUCCAUACCGUAAACGAUGAUUGUUAGAUGUUGGAAAUUUAUUUUCAGUAUCACAGCUAACGCGUUAAACAAUCCGCCUGGGGAGUACGACCGCAAGGUUAAAACUCAAAUGAAUUGACGGGGACCCGCACAAGCGGUGGAGCAUGUGGUUUAAUUCGAAGCUACGCGCAGAACCUUACCAACACUUGACAUGUCUGUCGCGAAUUCCAGAGAUGGAUUCCUUCGGUUCGGCCGGACAGAACACAGGUGCUGCAUGGCUGUCGUCAGCUCGUGUCGUGAGAUGUUGGGUUAAGUCCCGCAACGAGCGCAACCCCUACUUCUAGUUGCCAUCAGGUUAAGCUGGGCACUCUAGUAGGACUGCCUGUGAUAAGCAGGAGGAAGGUUGGGAUGACGUCAAGUCCUCAUGGCCCUUACGUGUUGGGCUACACACGUGCUACAAUGGCAGUGACAAUGAGAUGCUAAACGGCGACGUUAAGCUAAACUCAAAAACCUGCCUCAGUUCGGAUUGCACUCUGCAACUCGAGUGCAUGAAGCUGGAAUCGCUAGUAAUCGCUCAUCAGCGCGGAGCGGU
rnacentral:rRNA from 1 species